rnacentral:misc_RNA from 1 species
AUAUGGCGGAAGGUAAUGGCGAACUAGUGGACGAAGUCUCCGGAAUGAAAUCGGAAGAUCGAGGCGAUGGAGAGAAAACAGAAGACUAUCCAAAAUUAAUCGAAUAUGGAUUAGAUAAAAAAGUUGCCGCUAAAUUAGAUGAUAUAUAUAAAACAGGUAAACUAGCACACGUUGAGUUAGAUGAACGUGCACUAGAUGCACUUAAAGAAUUUCCGGUAGAAGGUGCCUUGAAUGUAUUAAGUCAGUUCCUUGAAUCAAACUUGGAACAUGUAUCGAAUAAGUCUGCGUUUUUAUGUGGUGUUAUGAAAACAUAUAGACAAAAAAGUCGUGCUAGCCAACAGGGUGUACCUACGCCUACAACAACAGUGCCAGUUAAAGGUCCUGACGAAGAAAAAAUUAAAAAAAUUCUAGAACGUACACAUUAUACACUCGAUGUUACAACGGGUCAGCGAAAGUACGGGGGGCCACCACCAAAUUGGACGGGCCCAACGCCGGGCAACGGGUGCGAAGUAUUCUGCGGUAAAAUACCAAAGGAUAUGUUUGAAGAUGAACUAAUCCCGUUAUUCGAGGAAUGCGGUGUAAUAUGGGACCUUAGGCUAAUGAUGGAUCCGAUGACUGGCACAAAUCGCGGAUACGCUUUUGUUACGUUUACAACAAAAGAGGCAGCACAGAAUGCUGUGAAGAAGCUCGAUAACUACGAAAUAAAACCCGGCAAAUGUUUGAAAAUUAACAUAAGCGUACCGAAUCUACGCCUAUUUGUAGGCAACAUACCUAAAUCGAAAGGCAAAGAGGAGAUACUAGACGAAUUUGGUAAAUUGACAGCUGGCCUAGUGGAGGUUAUUAUUUAUAGUUCACCAGAUGAUAAGAAAAAGAAUCGAGGUUUUUGUUUUCUCGAAUACGAAUCACACAAGGCCGCGUCAUUGGCUAAGCGAAGGCUUGGAACCGGAAGAAUUAAGGUGUGGGGAUGUGAUAUAAUAGUAGAUUGGGCGGACCCACAGGAGGAACCCGAUGAACAAACGAUGAGUAAAGUCAAAGUAUUGUACGUUCGAAAUUUGACACAGGAUAUUAGUGAAGAGAAACUUAAGGAACAAUUCGAACAAUUCGGAAAAGUUGAAAGGGUCAAGAAGAUCAAAGACUAUGCCUUUGUUCAUUUUGAAGAUCGUGAUCAUGCUGUGCUUGCAAUGCGAAGUUUAAAUGGGAAAGAAGUUGGAAAUUCUAAUAUAGAAGUCUCACUAGCCAAACCGCCUUCAGAUAAAAAGAAAAAGGAAGAAAUCCUUCGAGCCAGGGAGCGCCGAAUGAUGCAGAUGAUGCAAAGCCGUACGGGAAUAAUGGGUAUGUCGCCGACGCAUCCUGCCGCUAUGAUGCCAAUACCACCUAUGCGAGGCAUACCCGGACCUGGACCUGGACGAAUCCCUCUGAGAGGACCAAUGGGCCGUGGCGAUUAUGAUUAUGAUUACGACUUUUAUGGUUAUUCGGAUUAUCGUGGUGGCUACAAUGAACCAUAUUAUGACGAUUUUUACCGAUCAUAUGAUGGAGAUUACUUCUUUGAUUAUCCUCCGAGCGGUGUAUCGCCAGUAGCCGCCGGAGGACCACAGAGAACAACCAGAAAUAAUUCGGAUGGACCAAAUGGCCUGUAUGGCAUGUAUGAACCUAUGUUCGAGGGGGUUGGUCAUGGCCGUGGAAUCACAGCGCGUGGCCGAGCCGUUGGGCUCCGUGGCAACACCAAUCGUCAGGGGGCCCCACCGGGUCAACGGGGGGCCACCGUGGGGGCUCAGGCAGCAACCGGGGGGGUCCGUGGGGCGGGUCAAACUCGUCUCAACGCACGUGGCACCCAGCGCGCCAAGCCGCUACCAAAUUUACCAGCAUCUAUUGCAGUGUAUGCGUAAAUCUAAAAAUCUGAAUAUAUCAAUCAAAAUUUUAUAGAAGAUUUUUUUUUUUUUCGAUUGAACAAUUAAUUACUAUUUCCAAAAAAGGAAAACAAAUUAUAAUGGUUUAGAGCAAGAGAGAGAGAGGGAGAGAGAAAAAAUAAGAAGAUUGAAAAGUACCAAAAUUGCUUGUUUAAUUCGAUGACAUCAAUCAAGAAAUCGAAAUUUUGUUUCAUUCACAAAAUACGUGAUUAGUAGUCGGUAAACGUAAAUUCGAUGGAGGUCACCCAAAUCCUGGAGAUUCAAAGCGACGUUAUGCAAGCGGUAUCAUAGGAAAUGGUGGUGGAAAUUGGGGCAGUCAACCAUUACCGCAACAACCUUUGGGCACAA